CAUUUCUGGAAGCAAAAGGAUGUAGAACAAACCUAGCUACAGGAGCUACCCCUGUAAAUGGAGGAAUUCUCAGAGAAUAACUGUGGGCUUGGAGUGGGGUGGGGCAGGCGGUGAAAACAGAUUUCCAGGCAUUGCAAUGUUAGGAACUUCAAAAGAACUUUGUUUCUUGCCCAAGAGGAUGGGUUGCCAGUUACAGUAUGGGAGAUCUCACCCUCCCUAGUUCCAGAAAAGGACCACUUCAGAAAAGACACUUCCUAAAAUCAGAACUUGUUUGAAGAUUUUUUAAAAUCUGCUUCAGCAGUUGACGUCAGCAUUUGACUGGGAGCCCGGUAAAAGCUACUACACAGGGAACAGGGAACCAAGAAACUUUGGCAGUCUUCGAGUUGUGCUUAUUAACGGAACGACCUUCACAAGUAACCCAGCCUCUGGGAACCUGUUUUCUCAUUUUCAAACGGGGACUGAGAAGUUUUUGAUUCGGGUGUGAUAAAACGCUACAAAAAAGGGACCAGGUUCAGAUGAGCGUUACCAGUGGCUAAUUUGUGUCUGAUUAUGGUUGAAGGAAAAAAAGGAGUUUAGAGACACCUAGGAAAGGGAGGCAAAGGGACCCUUGAGGUAGCACCUCCGUCAAGCCUCAGCUCUUUCACAGAGCAAAAAUCUCCUUCGCACGGCGGACACGUCCUCUUUUAACUGGAAAACGAAUGUUCACUUUGGAUGAGUUUUGUCCUCAUUAGCAGAAAAUCCCAUUCUCCAAACUUUGUUUUUUU
ensembl:lncRNA